CCUGGCUGUCCUGAAAGUCUAUCUGAAAGACCAGCCUAAUCUUGAACUCAGAGAUCUACCAAGAUCUACCAGCCUUUGCCUCCCAAAGGCCGGGAUUAAAGUCAUGAGCCACCAUGCCUGGAUGAAACCGGAUUUUCCAAAGCAAAGAUACAGCAUCUCCAACAAGGGAGGCGGCUGAGAUUCCAAGUUUCGGGAAGGAAGGUUCCCGGAGAGGCUGGUGAGGAGCCUAGUGUGCUUCCCAGGCUACCAGCAGGCCACAUCCCCAGCCUGACUCCCUGAGCUGAGGGUCCAGCCUAGAGCUGUCCUCACUCGAGGACGUUGUGGUGGACUGGGGAGCAGGCAGGGGACAACCUGCAGCUGACCCUUGACCACAGAAGUUGGACUUGGCUAGAAGUGAAGGUAGGCUCAGGCUGUGAGCGAAG
rnacentral:lncRNA from 1 species